rnacentral:rRNA from 1 species
GAGUAAAACAAGCAAAUAAAUUAAAACUUUCAACAACGGAUCUCUUGGCUCUGGCAUCGAUGAAGAACGCAGCGAAAUGCGAUAAGUAAUGUGAAUUGCAGAAUUCAGUGAAUCAUCGAAUCUUUGAACGCACAUUGCGCCCGCCAGUAUUCUGGCGGGCAUGCCUGUCCGAGCGUCAUUACAACCCUCAGGCCCAGCCUGGUGUUGGGGAUCGGCCGAGCCCUCCUGGGCAGACGCCGUCCCCCAAAUUCAGUGGCGGUCUCGCUGCAGCCUCCAUUGCGUAGUAGCUAACACCUCGCAAUUGGAACGCGGCGCGGCCAUGCCGUA